UACAGAGGUCUCAAGCGUUGUUCGGAUUCAUUGGGCGUAAAGGGUGCGUAGGUGGCGCGGUAAGUCGGGUGUGAAAUUUCGGAGCUUAACUCCGAAACUGCAUUCGAUACUGCCGUGCUUGAGGACUGGAGAGGAGACUGGAAUACUUGGUGUAGCAGUGAAAUGCGUAGAUAUCAAGUGGAACACCAGUGGCGAAGGCGAGUCCCUGGACAACUCCUGACACUGAGGCACGAAAGCUAGGGGAGCAAACAGG
rnacentral:rRNA from 1 species